UAAAAGAAAUCUUGGGUAGCCUGU
rnacentral:siRNA from 1 species